CCGCGUGAGGGAUGAAGGCCUUCGGGUUGUAAACCUCUUUCAGCAGGGAAGAAGCGCAAGUGACGGUACCUGCAGAAGAAGCGCCGGCUAACUACGUGCCAGCAGCCGCGGUAAUACGUAGGGCGCAAGCGUUGUCCGGAAUUAUUGGGCGUAAAGAGCUCGUAGGCGGUUUGUCGCGUCUGGUGUGAAAACUCGAGGCUCAACCUCGAGCUUGCAUCGGGUACGGGCAGACUAGAGUGCGGUAGGGGAGACUGGAAUUCCUGGUGUAGCGGUGGAAUGCGCAGAUAUCAGGAGGAACACCGAUGGCGAAGGCAGGUCUCUGGGCCGCAACUGACGCUGAGGAGCGAAAGCAUGGGGAGCGAACAGGAUUAGAUACCCUGGUAGUCCAUGCCGUAAACGUUGGGCACUAGGUGUGGGGCUCAUUCCACGAGUUCCGUGCCGCAGCAAACGCAUUAAGUGCCCCGCCUGGGGAGUACGGCCGCAAGGCUAAAACUCAAAGGAAUUGACGGGGGCCCGCACAAGCGGCGGAGCAUGCGGAUUAAUUCGAUGCAACGCGAAGAACCUUACCAAGGCUUGACAUGCACGGGAAGCCACCAGAGAUGGUGGUCUCUUUGGACACUCGUGCACAGGUGGUGCAUGGUUGUCGUCAGCUCGUGUCGUGAGAUGUUGGGUUAAGUCCCGCAACGAGCGCAACCCUCGUCCCAUGUUGCCAGCGGGUUAUGCCGGGGACUCAUGGGAGACUGCCGGGGUCAACUCGGAGGAAGGUGGGGAUGACGUCAAAUCAUCAUGCCCCUUAUGUCUUGGGCUUCACGCAUGCUACAAUGGCCGGUACAAAGGGCUGCGAUACCGUAAGGUGGAGCGAAUCCCAAAAAGCCGGUCUCAGUUCGGAUUGGGGUCUGCAACUCGACCCCAUGAAGUCGGAGUCGCUAGUAAUCGCAGAUCAGCAACGCUGCGGUGAAUACGUUCCCGGGCCUUGUACACACC
rnacentral:rRNA from 1 species